UACGGAGGGAGCAAACGUUGUUCGGAUUCACUGGGCGUAAAGGGCGUGUAGGCGGUCUAGCAAGUCAGGGGUGAAAUACCACGGCUCAACCGUGGAAUUGCCUUUGAUACUACUGGACUUGAGGCCGUGAGAGGAGACUGGAAUUCCCAGUGUAGCGGUGAAAUGCAUAGAUAUUGGGAAGAACACCAGUGGCGAAGGCGAGUCUCUGGCACGGUUCUGACGCUGAGGCGCGAAAGCUAGGGGAGCAAACGGG
rnacentral:rRNA from 1 species